rnacentral:rRNA from 1 species
AUUGAACGCUGGCGGAAUACUUUACACAUGCAAGUCGAACGGCAGCACGGGAGCUUGCUCCUGGUGGCGAGUGGCGAACGGGUGAGUAAUAUAUCGGAACGUAUCCAAUAAUGGGGGAUAACUAAUCGAAAGGUUGGCUAAUACCGCAUACGCCCUGAGGGGGAAAGCUGGGGAUCGUAAGACCUAGCGUUAAUGGAGCGGCCGAUAUCGGAUUAGCUAGUUGGUGGGGUAAAGGCCUACUAAGGCGACGAUCCGUAGCUGGUCUGAGAGGACGACCAGCAACACUGGGACUGAGACACGGUCCAGACUCCUACGGGGGGCAGAAGUGGGGAAUUUUGGACAAUGGGCGCAAGCCUGAUCCAGCCAUUCCGCGUGAGUGAAGAAGGCCUUCGGGUUGUAAAGCUCUUUCGCAAGGGAAGAAACGUUACGAGCGAAUAACUCGUGAUAAUGACGGUACCUUGAUAAGAAGCACCGGCUAACUACGUGCCAGCCGCCGCAGUAAAAC